rnacentral:lncRNA from 1 species
UUUAUUUAUGUGGUUAUAAAUGAAGGAAUUAAUGUUGAGGUGUUUUAUCAGUAUUUUGUCGGAUUGGAGGUAUUAAAAACUCAAAUCGGUGUUCUUAAAGCUUUAUUGUGUGAGUUGUAAUUUUAAUCCGACCGUUGGAUCGUUGUGAUUUUUGGAUAUGUUAUACAUAUAUGAGUUGAGUAUAUGUCCACAAAUUUUUAACCGUUGAAAAUUAACGCAUGAUUUGUUAUGAAUUUUAAAAGGUGUUGAAACGG